AGAGGAUGAAAGAGGAAGAGAAAGAAGGCAGGGGCUGAGCGAACUCAGGCUACUAUCUGUAAGAGUAAUUGGCCAUCAAAAAACUGCACCUUUAAUCGGACAUUAUCUACCCUUUCCCUCUAUUUAUCUUUCUCUCCUUUAUUUUCUCUUUUCUGCGUCGGCGCCGCGGCAAUAUUUGCCAAGCUCGACUUUUUAGUCCCUUUUAAUGCGUGCUCGUGGGCUGUUUCGUUCCGGUCGAUUGUUUGAAUAAGUAAUUAUUCGGGGAAACUGCUUUCCCCUGCUCUCUUUCUUUUAUUUUUCGAUUAAGAUGCGUAUCCGUCGUGGAAACUAAUUUACCUGCUGAUAAUUGCAGCAUUUAUUAGCCACUUCAGAUUACUGGAAGAUAAAGAGGAGUGGAGAUCAGGGAGCUAUCCGCAGUGAGCAUUUUAUCGCUUUAUUCUGCUGGUCACGCGGUAUAUAAAAUGUAAUCCCUUUUAAUACCGUGUGUUUUGAAUAAUCAUGUAAAUAGAAGGAAGACUUAGUAUUACACGUAAUAGCUUCUAAACUGGAAGAAGAAUUUUAAGUAGAAUAGACAUUUAUAGUCGGACAACGACGCGUGUUCCUCCGGAUGUUCACUGUCGCGGAUAAGAUCGAAAGCUUUCCGUCAAUUUGUCAUCAGAAUGUAAGAUCUGUUUAUAAAAGAAACUUUUAUCUUUACUUCUCUACCGUUGAUUUCUACUGUAGUAAAGCGCAGAGUACAAAUUGAGAUUAUACAAUCUGAUUCGAAUCUAAUCCAAACAAUUUCAAUCACCUGCGAACCGACAGUGUCAGUGGAGAAAUAAAAUACGCGGAGUAAAAUACGCGCGAAAAAGAAAAACAAAAUAAAUAUACGAUAUAGAUACGAAUAUACAAAAAUAAACACGAUAAAACGUAUUACUACCGGGUGUCAAAAGUGAUAAGAAGUUGUUGAAUAACCUUGAUAUUUAAGGCACUGGCAGCAAACUCAACAAAGUCUGCUAUCUCCCAAACAUAUUCGACGCUAACAAACGAGACAGUUCCAAACGUAAUAACAUAAUGGUUUCUAAAAAACUGGCAUCCUAACCGACACCGAAUUAAGGCAAUUCGCAGAAGGCACGAUGAGCACGAGGCUAAGCGUGGUAGAAGUACUAUAGUCCGGAAGAUGAGGAAACGCUGGUCCCCUUUGGUUGAACGAGCCGGAGGGUGGGACGUAUGAAUGAAUUCUCUGUCAGCCUUUUAUCGUCGAUUCUUCAAAUCUUUCUAUACAUAAAACUGUCCCAGCACACGCAAAGGGCGGAUGAACCGUGAUACACUUCGGUGCGUCUACACUGUCGGUCAAAAGUUAGGGAUCACCUGUUUCGAGGUUGCAACUACCUCGUUGGUUUCCAUCCACGAACGAAUCGACAGAAAUUGUCAGAAAUAAUUAUCAGUAGAAAUAUUACCUAACAGCGAACAUUAUUCUUUUUACGUUCGUAAGAUAAAGAAAUAUUUUGUAAUUCGACUUUGACUAGAAGAUCGUUGAUCGACUAAAGUAGACCAAAAGGUUAUCGAUUAAAUGAAUGAUAAGCGCAAACAAUAAUCUAUUCUCGUUUUUUAAUCCAUUGUCGUGUUUAUGCGCGUUGUUCUUUGUGUCCCAGUUCUUUCGUUGUCAGCAUAUUUUAUAGGUCAAGAUAAGGAAAAAAUGCCAUAUAAGUAUAUGUCAUUGAAAACGUUGUUAAAGAGUUGCAGUAAAAAAAAAAAAAAAAAUAAAGAACGACGUACGAAAUGAGCGAUACCGAACGUGCAUUGCCGCCGCACAAAGUACGAAUAGAUCAGGGACAUUUACAUAUAGUAAUAAUCUCAAGGUAUCAUAAUACUUGUACGACUUCAACUUCAACGCAAUAAACGAGAACUGCGAAGAAUAACAAAUUCAAUCUUUUGCCGCUGUCACUCUUGUAUUGACAGGAAUGGUAAUCAUUUUGAAAUGGAGUUGUAGCUGGAUCUAUAGAAGAAGUAUUGAACAUAAUGCUUCGUGACUACUACUGUAUGUAAAUAUGCCUGAUCUAUUCUUAUCUCGUGCCGUAGCACGUUCGUUACCGCUCAUUUCGUAUACCGCUUUUCCUUCUUUUUUUUUUUUUAUUAUAUCUCCUUAACAAUGCUACCAAUGACAUUUAUUUUACAUAUUUUAUUUUUACAUUUUGUAUCUUGACUCGUCGUCUUGUCUUGUCCUGUGGAAUAUAGCGACAACGUUUGAUCGGAAAAAAUUGGGACAUUCUGUAUAAAACUAUCCAAACAAUACACGUUUCCGCUAUUGAACAAUUGAACGUAUCAUUGUUUGUUGUAUUAUCAUUGUUUGAAAUUGUAUAUUUCAUGGAUGGAUAAAUGUAGAUUUUAGGAAAAACCACGUAAUUUACGAAAGUAGCGUAAUAUAACGUAAAGAUAUAACGCGUUGUAAUGUAAUGUAAUGCAGGGUGGUUGGUAACUGGCGGUACAAGCGGAAAGGGGGUGAUUCUACGCGAAAAAAUAAGUCGAAAAUAUAGAAUAACAAUUUUUCGUUCGAGGCUUUGUCUUCGAGAAAAUCGACUUUGAAUUUUGGCUCGGUACGCCUGCACUUUAUCGCGUCUCGUUAUAACGGAUCUCACUGUAGAUCGUUGUCUCGAUUGACGUUAUUUUUUUAAUUUUUUAAAUUUUUAUUCUACAUUUUCGACUUCUUUUUUCGCGUAGAAUCACCCCCUUUGCGCUUGUGCCACCAGUUACCAACCACCCUGUAUAAUGCGAGGACUAACGAUACUGUCGAAUAAUUUCAAUUUAUAAAAUAAAUUUAAUAAUUGAUAAAAAGAUAAUCUUUCUCAGCUACUAGAGAAAAGACUCGCUGCCAAGAUCACGUUACACGAGUUCUUAUUUUCGAGCUACUUGAUGCCUAACUUUUGAACGAAAGUGUAUAGCAAAGCGGCUACCGGUAAAGAAAGGUCCGUUCUUUCUCCUGUGCGCGCGAUAACGAGCUCCUACAAUUUCCUCGAGGUACAAGAACAUGAAAGAAGAAAGGAGGAAGAGAGUAUAAUUUCUGAUUGUGGGCUUAAUAAUGGGCCUCUGGAAUAAUCUCCUCCUCCGUUGGUUGGUUCGUUUAGUUACGCCUUGCAGUUCGAUCCUUUUCGAUCGAACGGGGUUACCCGGAACCGGAAAUUACGCUAUUCAGCCUCCAUUAUCUCCGUCAUUUAGUUUUUCUAACGUGUCGACAAUCACCGUUUUAUAUCGAAGAACGCGUAUAGUUCGCUUUAAUUACUGCGAAUCGUGUCGUUAUACCAAGUUAGUGGAUUUGUGACGAUGGGAUAUUUCUGAUUGCGAUAUCAUAUUGAUUAAAUAUCGCUCGUAUCGAAUAAAAGUAUCAAUAAAUAUCGAUAAGCCGAUAAUAAAUUAAUAAACCUCCUCGCUUAAUUUAUUUGCACGUUAAGUUUUAAUGGGAAAAACGAUAUUUAUUCUCUGUUACGGUCUCUAUAAUUCUAUAGUAUGGACAUGCCUGUAUAUAUAUAUAUAUAUAUAUGUUUAUGCUGCAUACUUAUCAUUGACAUUUUGAUAUUAUGCAUCGACUUUCACGCAUAAUUAUAUAUGGCAAAUUAUUGUACAAAGUGGUUAUGUAUCAACUUUCACGCGUAAUCGUAUAACGUUGCGCGUAUUUGUGAAUGCGUUAAAAAUACUGCCAGUUCCGGUAAAAAUGCUAAUGAAAAUUACGUGUCAUUAUCCUGUUUUAUGCGUCCGGUAUAAUUCCAGCAACAUAAACAGAUCAUGAUAUUAAUAUUCAUGCCAUCUUGCCUUUUUAUGGAGCUGCCAGGCGUUAUAAAAGUUUGUAAUUAUAACUGCGGGCUUGAUACAAUUUAUUAAAUCCUGUUAAAUAUUCAAAAGAAAAGGAAAGAAAGUGGCGAAACGCGUGAUUCAAAUGUUUAUUAAGAACGUUAAAGCGGAACACCUUGGCAUAAACGCGAAAGCUUUAUCAAAAGCUCAAACUAAUCGCAACUGUCUCUUGCGUUGUAAGUCGAACACUUUUGCGCUCGAAUGUUUCUUUUUCCAUUUUUCCUUGAAAAUUAGCGCAACGAUUCUCUCCGAUCGAAUAACUCAUUCCACGCUGAUUACAAGAUGAUCAUUCUUGCAACAAGUUGUUUCUUCCCUGUCAAACGAUUUAUUCGAAUACAAUGAAACACAAUUAAAAUUCUUUUCAUUUUUCCGUUUCGUUGAAAAGGAUUACAAUACGAAAUCAUUCAAACGUAAAUUGUGAAUUCAAUGUCAAUACCAAUCGAAUUAUUUUUAUUAAAAUACUCGAUAAGGGCAAAAGCCCUUUUUAUUUUUAUUGUCCAAUUCUGACAGUCUACGAUAUAAUAUAACGAUCAUAGUCAGAAACAAGGCGUCAUUUUAUUCAAUUAUUCUAAUAAAUGAAAUAACGAUGAAGUAUACCGAAAAGCGAUAUUCGGAAAGGGGACCCAUAAUUACACGUUGAAAACCGGAAGCUUCCAGCCGAACGCAUACUCCCUUCCUGUUCUUUAAAUCGGCAAGCAAAGAAUUACACGCUUCCAGAAAAUUAUACGCUACCUACAAGCUUCUACAAUCGAAGAAUUAUACUCCAAAAUUAUAGAGUGCGUCGACUGUAUAGCGACCUCCGCCUAACCGCAGAUAAAUCACUCUUGUUAAAAGCUGGACGUGUUUUGACAAAUGGAACGAUUUCGGCAGAAUCGAUUUUAGACCUACAGCGAAAGAACAGAAGAAGAAUUGUCAAUUUAUAUCGGCUGUUUUGGAACUACGAGUCGUUGAAGUGUAAUAGAAGUAGCGAUGGGUGUAAGCAUCUCAAAAAGUAUGUAGCAUCGAACAUUGACCGAUUAAAUUUCAAUCACGUACAUUAGAGAUAUUUUAAAAUUAUAAAACAAUUUUUACAGCAUACACAGUUUUACAAUUAUAAAACAACGAUUUAAAGCUUUAGCUUGAACGCGAUUAUUUCUUACGGAAUUUUUGAAUAUUUAGCUCUUAGAAUUCCUGAAUAGUCGAGUCUUUGAAUUUUUUUAGUAAGACACUAGGAAACGUGGAUUUGUCUAAUGUGGAAAUAACAAAAAGUAUCAGAGGAGGAACAUUACCUGGAAGAUAUUUCACUAUUUAUGAUGUGACUUCCUGCUUGAAAUUACAAAAAGAAAAAAAAAACACUUGGAAGAAAAAUUGGAUAUGUCGUUUGUGUAAUAAAUUGCAAAAUAUUUCUCGGAACGUAAGGAAACAUCAAAAUGCUUUAUUAUCUCGACGCGUUGAAUUUUUAUUGAUUCUUUCGUUAAUAACACAAUUCGCAUGCAAACAACGUUGACUCGUGUAAUUAAUAUGCAAGCGCUUGUCUAUAUGUGAAGACGGUAGUACCACGAUCAAUUACAGCCUAGCAAAAGACGUCAAUGUCAAUCAGCUAUAAUACUCGUGGCAAAAGUCUACGUUUGCGUCAGGGACUACUAGCUUUAGCCCUUUCAUCGCUACAAAACCGUAUGUGAAUUAGAAGUAUGUUCGCUUUGAUUCAACGACCUAAAUACAUACAUUAUUGGACUAAAAAGAACUUACAUACAACUAUUGCCAACUACAAUUCGCGCAAUUCAUGUUACUCUGUACGAAGAAACGUAUGCCAUCCGUGCCAAAAUGUAUUGAUGAAUUACGAGAAAAUGGGAAUAAGGAAAGUACUGUUCGAAGAUAGAAUCAAAUGUCAGUAGCUGAAAUUUACAGUUAACGAUUGGAAGCAUUACAAAUACCAUUAACACUACCGGUAGAACUUUUACAAUUUUAUUUGAAAAUUCAAUGACGUAAUGACUUUCGCAAUGAUAACUAAAAAGAAUAAUAUAAUGAAUUUUAUUUUGUUUGUUAUGUAUUCAAACUGAAAAUAAUUUUGUAUCAAGGCUACUUAUAACAAUACCAGUGAAAAUGACUGGUACUUGACAAAGUGUAAAAGGGUCCUGCAAUCUGUUUAUCGAACUACAAUUAACUAGUUUCCUCGUUUCGUACAACUUGCCACACGUUUUUAAAAUUUAUACUGCUUAUCGUUCGACAUGACGAUAUCAGUUAUCAGGAAAAUUGCGGAUCGAUCGCUAGAUCGCUAGAUGCUAACGCUAGAAAUACCACACUAGUUAAAACGACUGGUUCUACAAUUUUAUAAAUGUGUCAACCUUCGUUUAGAGAUCAUGGUCCCAGAUGGAUUAAUAAUACGAAAAAUGUACUACGUAACAUGGAGUUCCUUCUGUAAGAAAGUAAUAAAUCGAAAAAUAUAAAAAUAUUCUAUUAUUACGUAUUUUUAAAGGCCAGUCGUUUUCACUGGUUGUGGUAGAAAUAGCUUCGUGUUAACUAUCGGUAGUUCUAGUGUUAAUACAAAAACAAUGGAUAGUUCUAGUUCUAGUAAACAAUGUACAAUAUGUUAUUGAUAUAUGAUUUACUACACUAUAUAUUAUAUAUAUUUAAAUAAUAAAAUAAAAAUAGUAAGAUGAAAUAUUAGAUAAUAUAGUAAUGAAUACCAUACAAAGAUUUUUACUUUUACAGUUACAUGAAUAAAUUACAUAAAUAAUACUAAAAACAUUGCAUAUAUAUUAACGCGUAUUAAGUGUACAAGCGAAUAACGAAUAAUUUUUCAGUACAAGUUAUUAUUUAAAAGUGUUUCACACAACAAGUUCCACCACGGUAAAAAUGUUGUGCUUUUUAGCUUUUGCUUCCAAUAGCCAGGGCACUGACAAAGGAGAACGUACUGUGAAAUUGCUACGUGACAACGCCAGACCACACACUGAUUCUACGACGGAAGACAUCACGAGGAGUCUCGUUUGAGACACGUCUCGCAGCUGUCAGUUUAUUCACUAGACAUUACACGAUUCCCGAUUACUACGUACUUGUUCCGAUCGAUUCAACGCACCUUUAUCCGAUACAUCUUUUCAAUUAUAGAUACAGAAAUCACUUGACAAUGGGAUCUUGUCCAAAGACACAGCAUCUUUUCACGAUGAAAUCCGUCACUUGCCUGAAACAUGGCUUAAAGUUCUAGAAAGCAACGACGAAUAAUACUUUAACCUUCCGCCAGCGAUAUGGGUCGCUGAGUUGCAGGUGAAACUUUCAUUGUCUAAUUUCUCCGAAACGAAGGUGUCGGACUUUGUGAUUUCCACACCUGAAACACCUUACACCUGCCAGGCUUUCACCGCCCAAAUAUUAUUGUUUACUUCGUUGAAUCCGAUUCAGAAUUUUAAUUCUGAAACUUCGAAGGUAAAGUGAGCAUUGUGCGCUAUUCAACGACUCGUAUUGUCUGUCUUUUGGUACGUGAAUUUGUUUAUAUAUUUUAUUUCUAUUCAUUGGUUUUCCGUCCCCUUUUUGCAGUUAUUCAUGCCGAGGAUUCGAACUCGCGACGCGUCGUCUUCAGUUCUGGGCCUUAACGAGCGUAGCUGGCUGCCUAUUCAUUUUAUGUAUCUUCUAACUUCUUUGCAAUUGUAAUAAAUUAUUGUUUGCAAUUUUUCAAUUGAUCCUUAUAAAUCGUUAUCAAUUUUGAUAAUUGCAUGAAUAAAUAAUCUACCCAAAAAUCCCGGAAACUCGGGUCUCAGAAUAAUUGUACUUUCCAAAGGAUUUGCAAAUUUUUUCAUACUUUUUCGAAAAAUCGUACAUGUAUAAAACCUCAGAAUAAUUUCUUUAGAUCACAUUUAUCACGAAACUUCUUACCUCCAAGCGAAUUCCUAUUUUUUCAUAACUCUCCGUUAGAUCUUCGCUUUUAUCGCAAAAAGUUUUAAACAUUUGGCUGCAGCACCGCUUGCAUAGUAAAUUAGGAACUAUAAUACGUACCCCGGAACUUGUUCAGAUUUCUCUAAAA